rnacentral:tRNA from 1 species
UUAAUUAAAGCUAAAAAAGAAGCAUUCUACUGUUAAUAGAAAAAAUGGUAAUAUUAUCUAAUUAAA